GAGAGAUUCAAUAUCGCUCGCAAGGGCAAUGUGCACUUCUCUCUUAGUAAGACGCUGUGAUCCAUUAGAAAUUGACCGUUCCCUCGGUUAUUUGGCUAUCAAUAGGCCAGCAUGAAGUUCCUCAAUGCAAACAACUCAAUCUUCAAUGGUCGGGUAUAUUGUCUGGGGAGCAUGUUGUGUCCUGUCUAAUAGCUGUCUGAUGGAUUUUAAAGGCCAUAUUAUCGAUGCUCCGGCACCGCUCGUACGCGAGAAUUUGAUAUGUGCCCGAUCAACAGCGGUUCACUUUGGGAUACCUUUUGGACCCGUCUUGAAACACGGACCAAGGAGUCUAUCUAGUAUGCGAGUAAAUGAGUACAUGAAACUUAUUUGCAGAAAAAACUUGACUGUUAUGGGACUACGAGCAGCAUUCGCGUGCUGCUCCUCAAUCCCGGGGUAUUUUUAUCAACAUAUGCAGCAAUGCAUAUGGAAAAUAUACCAUGA
rnacentral:rRNA from 1 species